rnacentral:rRNA from 1 species
UACGGGGGGGGUAAGCGUUGUUCGGAAUUACUGGGCGUAAAGGGCUCGUAGGCGGCCAACUAAGUCGGACGUGAAAUCCCUCAGCUUAACUGGGGAACUGCGUCCGAUACUGGAUGGCUUGAGUUCGGGAGAGGGAUGCGGAAUUCCAGGUGUAGCGGUGAAAUGCGUAGAUAUCUGGAGGAACACCGGUGGCGAAGGCGGCAUCCUGGACCGACACUGACGCUGAGGAGCGAAAGCGUGGGGAGCAAACAGG